rnacentral:tRNA from 1 species
CGGGGAGUAGUUCAGCCUGGUAGAAUGCCUGCUUUGGGAGCAGGAGGUCGCCGGUUCGAAUCCGGCCUCCCCGA